GCAUAGCGGUAUCCUGAGUAACGCGGGACACGAGGAAUCCUGCGCGAAUCUGCCGGGACCAUCCGGUAAGGCUAAAUACUCCCGUGAGACCGAUAGCGAACGAGUACUGUGAAGGAAAGGUGAAAAGAACCCCGAGCAGGGGAGUGAAAUAGUUCCUGAAACCAUACGCCUACAAGCGGUCGGAGCAUCUUACGAUGUGACGGCGUGCCUUUUGCAUAAUGAUCCUACGAGUUACCGUCACUGGCGAGGUUGAGUGUCAUGAGACACGUAGCCGCAGUGAAAGCGAGCCUGAACAGGGCGCAUAGUCAGUGGGGGUAGACGCGAAACCAAGUGAUCUACACUUGGCCAGGAUGAAGUCCCGGUAACACGGGAUGGAGGUCCGCACCAAUAAGCGUUGAAAAGCUUCUGGAUGAGCCGAGUGUAGGAGUGAAAGGCCAAUCAAACUUGGAGAUAGCUCGUACUCCCCGAAAGGCAUUUAGGUGCCGCGUCGGAUGGUCACCGUGAGAGGUAGAGCGACCGAUAGGACAAGAGGGCUUCACCGCCUAUCGAGUCCUGACGAACUCCGAAUGCUCACGGUCUGCAGUCCGGCAGUAAGGGGGCGGGUGCUAAGGUCCGUCCCCGAGAGGAGAAGAAUCCAGACCGCCGUCUAAGGUCCCGGAGUUCUGCCUGAGUUAGUCUAACGAAGUCUGGUCCCUAUGACAGCUAGGAUGUUGGCUUGGAAGCAGCCAUUCAUUCAAAGAGUGCGUAACAGCUCACUAGUCGAGGGUCCGGGCAUGGAUAAUAAUCGGGUAUAAGGCAGACACCGAAGGCGCGGGAUAGCAUUUAAGAAAGUAUCGGUAGGGGAGCAUACUCACAGCGUGGAAUGGUGUACGUAAGUUAUCCUGGAGCGGUGAGUAAAGCAAAUGUAGGAAUAAGUAACGAUAAGGAGGGUUAGAUUCCCUCCCGCUGUAAGACCAAGGUUUCCCGGGCAAUGCCAAUCAGCCCGGGGUCAGUCGGGUCCUAAGUCUAAGCCGAACGGCGAUGGCGAUGGCAGAGACGGUUAAUAUUCCGUCACUGCCGCAUGGGGCGACGUGGAGACGGAGCAGUGAAACCACCGCGGGGCGACGGAAGUCCCCGUUGAAGAGUGUAGGUGUUGAGGAUGGCAGGCAAAUCCACCGUCCGAGCUGAACUUGAUAGUAUGGAGUCUUCUUCGGAAGAAUCCAAUAGUGUGGGUAAUCAUACUCCCGAGAAAAUCCGCUAAGCUUAACCCAUGCGGCACCCGUACCGCAAACGGACACACGUGGUCGGGUAGAACAUACUAAGGCGUUGAGAGAUUCAUGGUUAAGGAACUAGGCAAAUUGACCCUGUAACUUCGGGAUAAAGGGUCCUCGUGAUGAGCGAGGCGCAGAGAAUAGGUCCAGGCAACUGUUUAACAAAAACACAGGGCUGUGCAAACUCGAAAGAUGACGUAUACAGCCUGACACCUGCCCGGUGCCGGAAGGUUAAGAGGAGAUGUCACUCGCAAGAGGAAGCAUUGAAUUGAAGCCCCGGUAAACGGCGGCCGUAACUAUAACGGUCCUAAGGUAGCGAAAUUCCUUGUCGGGUAAGUUCCGACCUGCACGAAUGGUGUAAUGAUCCGGACGCUGUCUCAACCAUGAGCUCAGUGAAAUUGUAGUAUCGGUGAAGAUGCCGAUUACCCGCGAUGGGACGAAAAGACCCCGUGAACCUUUACUACAGCUUAGCAUUGACCUUGGUCAUCCGAUGUGUAGGAUAGGCCGGAGGCUUCGAAGCGGGAGCGCCAGCUUUCGUGGAGCCAUCCUUGAAAUACGGCCCUUUGGCUGUCUGAGGUCUAACGCGUGAUACGCGGACACUGCUUGGUGGGUAGUUUGACUGGGGUGGUCGCCUCCAAAAGCGUAACGGAGGCUUCCAAAGGUGCCCUCGGGUCGAUUGGUAACCGACCUCAAAGAGUGCAAUGGCAUAAGGGCGCUUGACUGGGAGGCAGACAUGCCGAGCAGGCAGGAAACUGGGGCAUAGUGAUCCGGCGGAUGUGUAUGGAAACUCCGUCGCUCAAAGGAUAAAAGGUACUCCGGGGAUAACAGGCUGAUCCCCCCCAAGAGCUCAUAUCGACGGGGUGGUUUGGCACCUCGAUGUCGGCUCGUCACAUCCUGGGGCUGGAGAAGGUCCCA
rnacentral:rRNA from 1 species